AAUAAAGUGCCUGAAAUUAAAAGGAUUAUCUUGAUAGGAUAAAUCAUGUGUUAUUACACCUUUAUUA
rnacentral:tRNA from 1 species